UUGGUAUGAUCGAGACAACCCUGGUGGUAAUGGGGAUUAUGAAAAUUUGUAUGAACAAAAGAAACUAGGUUACGUCUGUGGCGGAUGUAAACCCAUCGGAGCAGAGUGUCGAGUGAAGGGAUCAACCAGUACGUUCACGCGCUGGUCUGGAACUGCUCCCGAUACCUUGGCGAUUCACUGUUUACCCACCAAAGGUCUGGCGUGCGUCAACUCCCAGCAAGCCGACGGGUAUUGCAAUGACUAUGAGAUAAGAUACUUGUGCCCAACAACGUCUGGAACAUGGACAAGCUAUUUAGAUAGGGAUAACCCAGGUGGCGUUGGAGACUUCGAAAACGUGGCGGCAUUUAGGG